GACGUAGGGGGCAAGCGUUGUCCGGAAUCAUUGGGCGUAAAGAGCGUGUAGGCGGCCAGAUAAGUCCGCUGUGAAAUCUCGAGGCUCAACUUCGAGCUGUCGGUGGAAACUGUCUGGCUAGAGUCCGGAAGAGGAGAAUGGAAUUCCUGGUGUAGCGGUGAAAUGCGCAGAUAUCAGGAAGAACACCGGUGGCGAAGGCGGGUCUCUGGGCAGUAACUGACGCUGAGGAGCGAAAGCGUGGGGAGCGAACAGG
rnacentral:rRNA from 1 species